UACAGAGGGUGCGAGCGUUGUCCGGAAUCACUGGGCGUAAAGGGCGCGUAGGUGGUGGCUUAAGCGUGCGGUGAAAGCUCGGGGCUCAACCCCGAGUCGGCCGUGCGAACUGGGCUCACUGGAGCAUAGUAGAGGCAGGUGGAAUUCCGGGUGUAGCGGUGGAAUGCGUAGAGAUGCGGAGGAACACCGAUGGCGAAGGCAGCCCCCUGGGCUAACACUGACGCUGAGGCACGAAAGCGUGGGGAGCAAACAGG
rnacentral:rRNA from 1 species